rnacentral:rRNA from 1 species
AGGGAGCUUGCUCCCGGAUGUUAGCGGCGGACGGGUGAGUAACACGUGGGUAACCUGCCUGUAAGACUGGGAUAACUCCGGGAAACCGGAGCUAAUACCGGAUAGUUCCUUGAACCGCAUGGUUCAAGGAUGAAAGACGGUUUCGGCUGUCACUUACAGAUGGACCCGCGGCGCAUUAGCUAGUUGGUGAGGUAACGGCUCACCAAGGCGACGAUGCGUAGCCGACCUGAGAGGGUGAUCGGCCACACUGGGACUGAGACACGGCCCAGACUCCUACGGGAGGCAGCAGUAGGGAAUCUUCCGCAAUGGACGAAAGUCUGACGGAGCAACGCCGCGUGAGUGAUGAAGGUUUUCGGAUCGUAAAGCUCUGUUGUUAGGGAAGAACAAGUGCAAGAGUAACUGCUUGCACCUUGACGGUACCUAACCAGAAAGCCACGGCUAACUACGUGCCAGCAGCCGCGGUAAUACGUAGGUGGCAAGCGUUGUCCGGAAUUAUUGGGCGUAAAGGGCUCGCAGGCGGUUUCUUAAGUCUGAUGUGAAAGCCCCCGGCUCAACCGGGGAGGGUCAUUGGAAACUGGGAAACUUGAGUGCAGAAGAGGAGAGUGGAAUUCCACGUGUAGCGGUGAAAUGCGUAGAGAUGUGGAGGAACACCAGUGGCGAAGGCGACUCUCUGGUCUGUAACUGACGCUGAGGAGCGAAAGCGUGGGGAGCGAACAGGAUUAGAUACCCUGGUAGUCCACGCCGUAAACGAUGAGUGCUAAGUGUUAGGGGGUUUCCGCCCCUUAGUGCUGCAGCUAACGCAUUAAGCACUCCGCCUGGGGAGUACGGUCGCAAGACUGAAACUCAAAGGAAUUGACGGGGGCCCGCACAAGCGGUGGAGCAUGUGGUUUAAUUCGAAGCAACGCGAAGAACCUUACCAGGUCUUGACAUCCUCUGACAACCCUAGAGAUAGGGCUUUCCCUUCGGGGACAGAGUGACAGGUGGUGCAUGGUUGUCGUCAGCUCGUGUCGUGAGAUGUUGGGUUAAGUCCCGCAACGAGCGCAACCCUUGAUCUUAGUUGCCAGCAUUCAGUUGGGCACUCUAAGGUGACUGCCGGUGACAAACCGGAGGAAGGUGGGGAUGACGUCAAAUCAUCAUGCCCCUUA